rnacentral:lncRNA from 1 species
GCCAUGAUUCAAUGGAAAGCACGAUGGUAGUGUACAUUUACUAGCAUAAAAAAUACAAGGCAACUCUGACAAUUUGACUCUGCUUUCUAAUCGUGGAAUGCAAGUAAACUAGCUUCCUAUCACAAAUAUCUUGAUACACAACACAGGCACGAUUUCAACUAUAUCCAUCAAAAUCGUUCUUACAUGGUAACUCUGAUCACUUGACAUGUCGAGAAAUUAACAUAUGGUAAUAGACUAAUAGCAGUACAUUGUCUCCGGCACAGGAUCCGCAAAUAUCACCAGGC